rnacentral:rRNA from 1 species
GGCUCAGGAUGAACGCCGGCGGUGUGCCUAAUACAUGCAAGUCGAACGCGUUGGCCCAAUUGAUUGACGGUGCUUGCACCUGAUUGAUUUUGGUCGCCAACGAGUGGCGGACGGGUGAGUAACACGUAGGUAACCUGCCCAGAAGCGGGGGACAACAUUUGGAAACAGAUGCUAAUACCGCAUAACAACGUUGUUCGCAUGAACAACGCUUAAAAGAUGGCUUCUCGCUAUCACUUCUGGAUGGACCUGCGGUGCAUUAGCUUGUUGGUGGGGUAACGGCCUACCAAGGCGAUGAUGCAUAGCCGAGUUGAGAGACUGAUCGGCCACAAUGGGACUGAGACACGGCCCAUACUCCUACGGGAGGCAGCAGUAGGGAAUCUUCCCCAAUGGGCGCAAGCCU